rnacentral:rRNA from 1 species
UACGAGUGCCCCAAGCGUUAUCCGGAAUCAUUGGGCGUAAAGGGUGUGUAGGCGGUUGUGUUAGUCUAUAGUCAAAUCCCCCGGCUUAACCGGGAUGUUGCUAUGGAAACGGCACAACUAGAGGAUGCGAGGGGUCUGUAGAACUCAUGGAGUAGGGGUGAAAUCCGUUGAUAUCAUGGGGAAUACCAAAAGCGAAGGCAGCAGACUGGCGCACUCCUGACGCUGAAACACGAAAGCGUGGGUAGCGAAUGGG